UCUCCUCUUUUCCCUCCCCGGUCUCCAAAGGCGGGGAAAGCCUGCCAGCAGUCGCGGCCGGAAGGGCAUGUCAAAGGGAUGUACAUCAUGCUGGGGGUUCCCCGGCCUGAGGCUAUGGAGGGAGGAGUGUGAUGAGGAGGAGGGUGGAGCCGGGCCAUGAGUCCGCACGGCCUGCCCCCAGUCAGGCUAAUCAGACAAGGAGAGGGAUAAGGCCAAGCCAGAUGCGGCAGUUCAAGAGAGAGAGAGAGAGACACACGCAGCUGCCAUAUGAAUGACACUACAGAUGUAUCUCCAAGUCUGCUUUGGGAAACAUUGAAAGCCUUUCUAAGGUAUAGAGCUGGAGUUGGAGUAGGUUGGGACUGUCAUGAAUCCCGCCUUUGUUGUUCCUCCCGCUCACCACCAGAGGGCUCCGUCACCUGGGGAUUGACUUUAACUCUCUGGACUCCAUUUUCCAAAAUCCCCAUACCUGUCACUGAUUACCUGCUCAGCUGUUUCUCAUUUACUCAACUACUUAAGUCUCACUCUCACUCUCUAACAUUGCGAAGUCUUAUUUUGCCCUGGCUGACAUUUCUAAGCGUUCUCUGAGGUUUUGCAUUAUCUGUGUAUGAUCCUGGACUAUUUACCCUGUUUUGACCCAUUGCUGCCUGCCUACUACUACUGCCUUGUUUACCUGGAAAUAACCUGUGAUUGUCUGCCGCCUGCCCUGACCUCUUGCCUGUUUAUUUUCUACCACUCUGGAUUGUCUUUGUUAUUACUAUUGCUGGUGCUGACCUGCCUGUCUGUAUUACAACGUUUAUCAUAAUUAAAGCUGCACAUGGAUCUCAACUCUGAGGACUCAUCAUUACAGAAGACUUCGCCAAAAACCAAUCCAGUGGCUUUUUUCCACUAACCACCGAGGUCUCACCUCCUUCAUCAAACCCAGCGGCACACCCGGCCUCAGCUAGAACAAUUCACCGCACCAUGGAUAUAGCAGCAUUCUUCAUUCAAUUAAGCCAGGCAGACUUAUCAAUAAGAGAGUAUUCUCAUUUCUUUUCAAAUGUUGCCGCCCACACUGGUUUUGAUGAUGCCGCUUUGAAAUCCAUAUACCGAAUCAGACUCACAGCAUGCCAGUGGAGGGAAUUGCCAGACUCCGCAGACUACACAUGGGAGGUAUAUGUUAGGCUAGUACUCGAAACACUCGCUUCGGAGGAGCCUCUUCUCUCAAUCCUGAUCCCGGAUUCUAAGUCUUCUACAUCUGAAGCCUUUUCACGCCAUGUCACAGCCACGUCUGAGUCUGGUCCACACCAUGUCACAGCCACGCCUGAGUCUGCUCCAUGCCAUGUCACAGCCACGCCUGAGUCUGCUCCAUGCCAUAUCACAGCCACGCUUCAGCCUGCUCCAUGCCAUGUCACAGCGAAGCCUGAGUCUGCUCCAUGCCAUAUCACAGCCAAACCUCAGCCUGUUCCAUGCCAUGUCACAGCCACGCCUCAGCCUGCUCCAAGUCAUGUCACAUCAACGCCUCAGUCUGCUCCAUGCCAUGUCACAGCCAUGCCCCAGUCUGCUCCAUGCCAUGUCACAGCCACAUCUGAAUCUGCUCCACGUCAUGUCACAGCCAUGUCUGAGUCCGUUCCAUGCCCUGUCACUGUCAAAUUUGAGUCGGCUCCACACCACGCCACGCCAUGCCACAGUCCAGCCUUCAACGACUCAUUGUACACUGGCAAGAAGACAAGAGGCAGUUUUUUUAAUGAAUGUCUAUGUAGGAGAUGCUUCAUUAUGCUGAAUAAACUGAUUUUUUGCCUGUCCACCAAAAAUUCCAAAACAUGUUUUACUUGGAAUUAACUGUGUGUGGAGUUUACUAUGAUAAAAUUGCUGAUUUAUAAGAGAAGUCACAGACAAUCUUGUGACAGGUAUUUUUACGACUCUGCCCAUUCAUUUGUAUGGUAUUCGCAAACAGUGACUUACUGCUGUUACACACUAGUUGACCGUUACUCUCUCUCUCCCAUAGUAAAAGUGUGGUCACCUUAUGUGCCACAGAAACUACCAUGCAGCCAUCUUGAAAAUCUUGUCUCGGAACUUCCAGUGUCAAAGUGUAAUUAGCUAGCGAAGUGGAUUUACAGGUUAUAGAGUUGUCAAAAGUUAUCAUGAGUAUUUUAAAGUGUUCAAGGGAUGUAAUAAUAACUGGAAACAGAGCAGGAGAGUUUAAACAAGAGUACUUCAUUCAUAAAUGUACAAGAUCCUGCAUUCAUGCUGUGGACGUACUGAUGUGCCUCUGUGCUCAUGAAACUCCAAGAGACAACACAAAGUCAUUAAAAAUAUCUCUGUACGACACACCUCUGACCAUCUUUUCAUGUCAUUCACCCGACUGUGAUCCGGUUAAGGUGAGCAGAUUUUAUGAGUGUUAAACCAAGAGUGGGGAAGAGGUGCCACUAUAUUUAUACACACACACACACACACACAUAUACAUACAUGUGAAAGUGUAUGUUUUAUUUUAUAUUCUAUUUACGACAAUUUUAUUCACAUUUAAGCCUUUUAAAAAUGUGGGGUGACAAAUUAAUUUUAAAAAGUACAAAUGUAACUUCCUUUCAUGUUCUUGCAUGUAAAAUAAUACAAUCUGUCACUGCAAAUUUUUACACAAAUUAAGUUGAAUUACACGUAUAACAAUGAAACGAUUGUAUCAUUAAAAAGUGCAGUGUGUCAUAGCUGUCUGAAUGUGAUCUGUCAGGUCAAAUUUACCUCCGUGUGUGUUGGGAAAACGAACAUUUACAGUGACAGAAAAAACACCUCACAAGCAUUUUCACAUAGACUCACACCAUCAACUCUUGGUGAAAAAUACUUUAUGUGCUCCUGCACGUAAUCCAUUUUGAUUGACUCUUCUCAGUAGCUUCAGUGAAAACCGGAGGUUAAGAGACAAAAUGCGGAAGAGGAGCACGGAAAAGGGGCAGGGCUGAAUAAGGUGAUAAGUAAAAUGACUGUCAUGGUGCACUUUUAUGCCUCUAUGUUUGCUUAAGAUUUUAAUGCUUAAAUAUAAAAUAUUGAUUUUUAUGCCUAAAUAUAAAAAUAUGAUCAAUAUUUUAUGGAAUUUCUUGAAUACAAUGCAGACUUCAAACGUGGAUUCAACAUUGUUUAUCUACAAAUUAACAUCUUUAACCACAAAUUCUUACACAAUUUAUGUUAAAGAUGACAAGAACUGCCAUCACAACUCAUCUCUACAACUGUCUCACUUACGUGAUGCACAAUAGAUCUCUCCGCCUACUUGCUGCGUAAGUUCCUCACAGGGGAAGAGUCAUUCAUAUUUAUGAGUAAAGAUCAUAAGGCCCAUUAUAUCUAUAUUUUACACUUAUUUCCUAUAUAAAAAAUAUAUUGAAAUAAAUAAAUAGAUAUACCUUGUAUAUAAUCAUAAGAUUUAAUUGGGCCUUGACAACCUUAUUCUGGUACACUACCUACAUUACUAAGAAAUAAAAUACAGCAAUACACUUUAAGAGUAAUUAGAAUUACACCCUUAAAGCAAAUUACAAAGACAAAUCAGAGUCCACACGAAUGCAAGGAUGGAGUGGAGAGAAAUAUAUUAGAUGUGAUCAUGGGGAGAUCAAUAACAAAAUAUUAAGAACCUAAAAUUUGAACAGAGAUAGGAACUGUUUAAAGAAUAAUGAUAUAAUAUUAAACACUGAUUCUUUCUCUUUGACUUUUCAGGUUAACUGGUUAAAUGGAAAUGAAACUAGAAAUGAAACUGCCUGUAAAAGGCAAAACACAAAAUUGAGUUAUGACUGAAAUCAGGUCUCGAGUUAGGCUCAUAUGCUAAAAUUCAGAGAAAACUUGAUGUGAAAAUGCAGUCACUACAAAAUCCAAAUCAAUUCAGGUCUUGUAUUUCGUGAACAACCGCAGUGCGAUUUUGGGCAGCUAAGGUGGAGGGAGAGGGAGAUAUUUGAUGAGCAGGAAGAGGGAGCCUGUGGUGGUGCAUUACAGAAGCCACAUGGUCACUGCUAGAGAUACCACCAAGCUUCUUUAUGAGCGCUAAAACCUGUGUUGCACAAAAAUAUGUCUUAUUACCUCGCAUGACUGUCUUUUGGUCUGUAGCUGAGUGAUGCCAGUUGCCAGAAGCCAUGUUUAAAUGUAAAAGUCUCAUUGCUUUCGGUCAAUGACAAAAACAGAAAAAUACUACAAAUUUACGGUGCUAUUUUGUGAUUGAUUGUGGCAGUCUACAGCCCACCCUCAAUGCUUGCAACACACAGAAUGCCCCCAAAUUGAUUUUAACCAAUGCACAGAUUGAAAAAUAUAAAAUAUUUUAUUUAAUAAUGUGUUUGCCAAAUGUUUGAUUGGGUGGGCAAGACUCAUGUUCGGGUGGGCUCAGCCCAUCGCUGCCCAUGCCUAUAUCUGGCCAUGGAAGUGCCUAUUCAAUUUAAAUGAUCUUUUUCUUUUUUCUUCAAAAUUCAAAAAGGUAAAACCAUCAAAAUAAUUAAACCAUGCUUUGAAUGACGGGUGUUUGUUAAAAAAAUGAGCUUGUUUUUUCAUGACAUGUUUAUUCUGGUCUAUAAUAUUUACCUUUUGUUCUGUAUUCAUUGUAAUAUUUGUAUAUU